rnacentral:tRNA from 1 species
GCAGUGGUGGUUCAGUGGUAGAACUCUCUCCUUUCAUGUGGGAGACCCAGGUUCGAUUCCUGGUCAGUAUA